UUUGCACUCAGGGCGAUUCGCUCUGAAUAAGUGUAGUAUCUGUUCUGAAUCGCUUGACAGCGGUUCGCCUGGUAUGUGCCAGGCGCCUCUGUUCAUACUAAUUUAUUAACUCAUUGUCCUAGCAUGUCUAGGCGAUGGAUUUAGGCGGUGUCUUCACUAUCUCACCUAACCUAAAUCACCCAAU
rnacentral:snRNA from 16 species